rnacentral:rRNA from 2 species
UGCAGUCGAGCGGACAGAAGGGAGCUUGCUCCCGGAUGUUAGCGGCGGACGGGUGAGUAACACGUGGGUAACCUGCCUGUAAGACUGGGAUAACUCCGGGAAACCGGAGCUAAUACCGGAUAGUUCCUUGAACCGCAUGGUUCAAGGAUGAAAGACGGUUUCGGCUGUCACUUACAGAUGGACCCGCGGCGCAUUAGCUAGUUGGUGGGGUAAUGGCUCACCAAGGCGACGAUGCGUAGCCGACCUGAGAGGGUGAUCGGCCACACUGGGACUGAGACACGGCCCAGACUCCUACGGGAGGCAGCAGUAGGGAAUCUUCCGCAAUGGACGAAAGUCUGACGGAGCAACGCCGCGUGAGUGAUGAAGGUUUUCGGAUCGUAAAGCUCUGUUGUUAGGGAAGAACAAGUGCGAGAGUAACUGCUCGCACCUUGACGGUACCUAACCAGAAAGCCACGGCUAACUACGUGCCAGCAGCCGCGGUAAUACGUAGGUGGCAAGCGUUGUCCGGAAUUAUUGGGCGUAAAGGGCUCGCAGGCGGUUUCUUAAGUCUGAUGUGAAAGCCCCCGGCUCAACCGGGGAGGGUCAUUGGAAACUGGGAAACUUGAGUGCAGAAGAGGAGAGUGGAAUUCCACGUGUAGCGGUGAAAUGCG